GAAACGGAUGUCUCCUUCGCUGAUUAGAAGAGCUUAAACAACGUGAAGCUGUUAUUUCAUUGUAGGAAUCUUGAUUAAUAUGAAUAUACAUACAUUAAGUGUUGAGCUACAAAAUGGGUCUGAUAUAUAAUUUUGCUACAUGUGGACAGUGGUCACUAGCAGGGUAAGUACUAAAUAUUGUAGCAGAUCAUUAUCUUUCACUCAGCCUUUUCAAGUUAUGAAAGCAACAGAACACGCCAAUCAGUGUCUUCUAAUUCUGCAGCAGUCUUGCAUAACCAGUCAUGUUCUAUAAAAAGGCACAAACUGGGGCAAAAGUUUGUAGGGAAGGACUCUGCAGCACGAGGGUCAACAUUCCCAAAGACUCGGAGAACUCAAAUUCAUGAUGGCAUUUUGUCCAGCUUCUGACAUCUGAAAAGUGAGUCACCAGCUGUGAGUGGCGUCCCCACAAAAGAACCCCAGGAGAGAAUUGACAGCAACUCAAAUGCAAGUUGUUCUAAAUUUUCAGGGAGAAUGCUAGAUUUACUGUCCGGUCAUUUGUAGAAAUGCAGGACUCAUCAUCACAUGCCUGUAGGAAUGUGACUCUACACACUAAUGUGGUGGUCAGAUUUCCAAAAAUAUUUCUGCGUCAGCCAUGCAUUGUAAAGAGCAAAAAAAAAAAAAAAAAAAAUCACAAUAAUAAAAAAGAAAGUCAUCAUAGGCAGCAGUUUUAUACACUGGAGGCUUCUCACAAUAUUCAUGCUUUGAACUUUCCUGUCUUGCCUCAUCAACACUAAAAAUGCACUUACAUACCCAGCACUUCUUAAGGUGUGUGAAUUAUUUGGUGGCCAUUAAGCUGAUGGCUUUGAUCUUGGAAUAACAACUGUUGUUAGAUACUUCUGACAUCCACUGCAAAUGCAGAUUUCAUGAAAUGCUUGACAAGUGAAAGGAGACUAGCCAGUGGGAAAUAACCUCAGCUAUAAUCAAAUAAAGAGGUCUUCAGUUCUGUUUAGCUCUUUGACAGGUAAGUUGGCUGCUGCUAUAACGAUGCAAUACACUGUAGAUUCUGCAUUAAGAAAAACAAACAAAAAAACAAAACACUUUUCUGCUCCAUGAAAACCCACAAAAGUCAAACUUACUAGUCAUGCAUGCCUAGAGACUCAUUGGCAACCAGUUGGUAGGAAAAAUCACUAUUCCUUGACCAUUUGGUGAGUGGUCAAAGACUGCACCAAAAAAAUCCUCCUUACCACUGGUUUGGUCACUAGCAGACUGCAUCGCUGUCAUCACCUGCAGUUUGCAUUUAAAAUGCAAACACUUGUCAACUACUUGC
ensembl:lncRNA